rnacentral:pre_miRNA from 1 species
AGUGGAAUUGCUGAGUCAAGUGGUAACUUUAUGUUUAGAAUUUUGAGAAAUUGCCAAAUUGUUUUCUAAAAGAGGCUGCACCUUUUUGCAAACUCACCAGCAAA